AACGUAGGAUCCGAGCGUUAUCCGAAUUCACUGGGCGUAAAGCGCGUGCAGGCGGCCGGGCAAGUUGGAUGUGAAAGCUCCUGGCUCAACUGGGAGAGGACGUUCAAGACUGUUCGGCUCGAGGCCGGUAGAGGGAAGUGGAAUUCCCGGUGUAGUGGUGAAAUGCGUAGAUAUCGGGAGGAACACCAGAGGCGAAGGCGGCUUCCUGGACCGGACCUGACGCUCAGACGCGAAAGCUAGGGGAGCGAAC
rnacentral:rRNA from 1 species